rnacentral:tmRNA from 1 species
GGGAGCGACUUGGCUUCGACAGGAGUAAGUCUGCUUAGAUGGCAUGUCGCUUUGGACAAAGCGUAAAAAGUCCAAAUUAAAAUUAAACGCAAAUAACGUUAAAUUUGCUCCUGCUUACGCUAAAGCUGCGUAAGUUCAGUUGAGCCUGAAAUUUAAGUCAUACUAUCUAGCUUAAUUUUCGGUCAUCUUUGAUAGUGUAGCCUUGCGUUUGACAAGCGUUGAGGUGAAAUAAGGUCUUAGCCUUGCUUUUGAGUUUUGGAAGAUGAGCGAAGUAGGGUGAAGUAGUCAUCUUUUCUAAGCAUGUAGAAGUCUUUGUGGGGUUAUUUUUGGACAGGGGUUCAAUUCCCCUCGCUUCCACCA